AGAUAAGGGACAUCCAUGAAGUCCAAGAUGAGGAUUCCAAUUUCAGAGCCUAUGAUGAUUUAAAAAGGAAUGCAGGGCCUCAUCUUGUCUAUUUAGCUUAAUGGCUGUUGAGCUUCAUAAAUACACUGCUUAUGGAAGAAAUCAAAAUUGUCAUCCGUUUAUGCUAAAAUGGGAUGUUCUUGAUACAGAAAGCUGAAAUGUACCAAAUACCUGGUCGAGGUGAUGGAAGCAUGAAGCUCUGGAGGGCUUCG
rnacentral:lncRNA from 1 species